AUUGAACGCUGGCGGCAGGCCUAACACAUGCAAGUCGAACGAGUGGCGGACGGGUGAGUAAUGUCUGGGAAACUGCCUGAUGGAGGGGGAUAACUACUGGAAACGGUAGCUAAUACCGCAUACCAUCGGAUGUGCCCAGAUGGGAUUAGCUUGUUGGUGGGGUAACGGCUCACCAAGGCGACGAUCCCUAGCUGGUCUGCGAGGAUGACCAGCCACACUGGAACGGAGACACGGUCCAGACUACUACGGGAGGCAGCAGGGGGGAAUAUUGCACAAGGGGCGCAAGCCUGAUGCAGCCAUGCCGCGUGUAUGAAGAAGGCUUUCGGGUUGUAAAGUACUUUCAGCGGGGAGGCGUUACCCGCAGAAGAAGCACCGGCUAACUCCGUGCCAGCAGCCGCGGUAAUUC
rnacentral:rRNA from 1 species